rnacentral:lncRNA from 1 species
UGUCAGAGGUUUCACAGUACUACCCCAUAGCACCAGUAGAUGGCAGACUCGCAUUAUAGUCUGAAAUUGAUACCACACUGUGAUACCAGUCACAUUGUCAAGACCUAUAGGAAGAAAAUCUGAACCAGAAACAGUAUGGCAGAAUUGGGAUCUGACUCACAGAGGGAAGAACUUAUAAUUCUUCACAGGGCAC